GACGAACGCUGGCGGCGUGCUUAACACAUGCAAGUCGAACGGAAAGGCCCUGCUUUUGUGGGGUGCUCGAGUGGCGAACGGGUGAGUAACACGUGAGUAACCUGCCCUUGACUUUGGGAUAACUUCAGGAAACUGGGGCUAAUACCGGAUAGGAGCUCCUGCUGCAUGGUGGGGGUUGGAAAGUUUCGGCGGUUGGGGAUGGACUCGCGGCUUAUCAGCUUGUUGGUGGGGUAGUGGCUUACCAAGGCUUUGACGGGUAGCCGGACUGAGAGGGUGACCGGCCAAAUUGGGACUGAGAUACGGCCCAGACUCCUACGGGAGGCAGCAGUGGGGAAUAUUGCACAAUGGGCGGAAGCCUGAUGCAGCAACGCCGCGUGCGGGAUGACGGCCUUCGGGUUGUAAACCGCUUUCGCCUGUGACGAAGCGUGAGUGACGGUAAUGGGUAAAGAAGCACCGGCUAACUACGUG
rnacentral:rRNA from 1 species